ACAGGAUCUAGUCUUACCUUCUAAUGUAAAACAAUUUAAUUAUGCUCAUUAGACAUGUUUGCCUGAAUAGUAUCUUAAUCUUAAAUGAGGAUAAUGAAUCCCAGAAAGAUCAAGAUUACUGAAUUUGCUAGAGGUAGAACAAUAUAGGCUAACAAUUACAGAUUGUUCUUACUGCUAUGCAGCUUGGUCUCUAGCAGCUUCUCUUAACCCCUUGUUCUCAUUUGAGCUCAGAACCAGUCCUGGCCUGAGAAUGGCAAAAUGAAAAAGCAGAAGGCUCUUCUGAAAGAUUGAAUGUGGUGCAGGAAUGUAGAAGCAGCUGUAAAAAUCAGUUGCUGGUGUGGGAGCCUCUCAGGGAGGUACCCGGCUGGCAUAAUGCCCUCUGGUGUUAGGAAGGGGUUCUUUCAUCAUAUGCACAUGUAGGGCUGAGCCGCGAUAAUGGAAGCUUCCAACAGAUCUCAGAUCCAGAGCACAACAUGCUAUUAUGCAGCUUUUGUGUAUUUACCAACAAAAAACUGUUGAUUGACAUCCAGUGUUAUAAUUUAUGUCCACUACCCUACAUACUUUUUAGGACAGUGUCUUUCAACCGCUCUGCCUUGAGAAGUGGACCAAAAUUAUUCGUGAGAAAUGCUACAAAUGUUACAAAUAAUAGAAGAUUGCACAUAACCGGCUUUUUAAAAAUAUGAAUUAGAGAAGUUUUAAGAUUAUCUAUAAUAAUAUCUUAUUAACUCAUGUAAGAAUUUUAAAAAAAAAGGAAGUAGAAAGUGUGUGUGACUUUGGAAGAUAUGCCUGUAAAGUUGUGCUUUGGUGUUAUGCAUCUCAGAAAAACACUCAUCUGGGACAUGGCCACACAAGAUGUUUUGAAACAAUGUGCCUUCAAGAACUUAGAAUCUCACUGGGGAGACAAGAUGGACAGAUGACUACGGAAGUUUGAAUUGGAACGACAAUUUGAGAAAGCUUCAAAGAAGAGGCCAUAUGAGAUGGCCUUGAAUCACAAGUUGGAAUUUGAAUAAUGGAAACUGUAAGGAAAGAAGGGACCUGGCACUGCAGGUAUUUACUUGCAAGGAGACAGCAAUAGUAGUUCUGAGCAGUCACCUGUGACAUCUCCAGUGGAGUCUGGAAAAGACAUGUGGAUUCACUUAUAUGAAUAAACGCACGAUGAACAACAACAACAAAAAUGUGUUUGAUCUGGUACCAACUGAGUCAAACUUUACAAAUAUCCAGGGGAGCACAUGAUAGAUGAAGAUGUCAGAGCAUUGGUUAGAACCCCAGAGAAAAGUUACCCAUGAUUGGACAUAAGCUGACAAUUGGAUUUCUGGAGGCCCAGACAAAGACACUCAGUGCUCCAGUUCUGCGACAGGGACCCUCCAGCUGCAGUGCAUGGGGAGCUGCGUGAGUCAGCCUGGCAUGGACUGUCUUAUGUCGUAAUUACAGAAAAGGAAACAAGAUUGCUUCAGAUUUAUAAAAACUGGAAGGUUCUAUUGCUGCACGUGAACAGAUUCUGUUCCAGGAUCCCGUGCCUCCAGUAACCCAUGCUUUCAUUUUAACAUGGAACAAAAGCGAACUUUAUAAGCUUGCCUGUCUAAAGGGAAUAUGCCCCUGCUCUUUAGCCUUUUGCUUCAGGGAGUUAGAGGAAUGAGUGCGAAGUGAGGGUGUGAAAAAGAGGCUAGACACAGCAGUGCUGCCUGCUGAAUUAUUUUCCAUCUGGAGGGAAGGCUGUCGCUUUCGGUAUAUUCCUCAAAGGAAGAAAGAAUGGUAGUGAACUCAAUCAAGUUUCGAUAUUACCUUGUAGUAGAUUUAAUAAGAAGGAAAAUGACUUGAGUCACAGUGCUGAGGGCUUGGGCAAGGCCCAGUGUAUUGGGAUGAUCUGAUGCACUCUUUCCUGGAUUUAUCUGAAUCUUUGCAGAAAGCAGAGAAGGGGUUGGAGCACCAUGUUGGUCCUGACAGUAGUAGAAAGAGGGAGGUGUAUGAAAAAUGCGGCACGCAUGCGUAUGGUGGAGACGGGCAUAGCCACACGUAUUGGAGACAGUUUAGCAGACUAGUUAGGAGUAUAGGUGCUGACAAUAAACUGCUUGGGCUCAAGAGUUUUCUCUUGCUAGCUGUAGGCCUUGGGCAAAUUACUCAGCCUCUUGAAGUUUCUGUUAACCUCUCUGAGUUUACUGUUCCUCAUCUGUAAGGUUGGGAUAAUAGUGGUACAAAUCUCAUAAGGGUUUUUGAGUAUUAACUUGAGAUGAUUCAUGUAAAGCACUCAGCCUAUAAUAAGGGAAUCAUUAUGAUGAGUAAAUAUAUCCACUGCAGAUGACAUUGCUAUUAGAUGGAGGUAAGGACCUCAACGUGAUGAAUGGAUUUGGUGAGCAGAGCAGUGGAGGUAAUUAUCUUCCUUUACUUCUUUUUCUGUUACUGAUACUACCAUUAAUAAUAUAGUUUCCAAUAAUUUUGAACUAUUAAAUGUCAGACAGAGUUCUGGAAUUUUUGUGUGUGUCUGUGUGAGGAAGAUUGGCCCUGAGCUAACAUCUGUGCCAGUCUCCCCUACCUUAUAUGUGAGAUGCUGCCAAAAAAGCAUGCCUUGAUAAGUGGUGGCUAUGUCCAUGCCCAGGAUCUGAAACUGGCGAAUCCCAGGCCACUGAAGCGGAGCACGCGAACUUAACUGCUAUGCCACUAGGCCAGCCCCCUCAAGGAUACUUAUUUUAUACUUCAAGUGGUAAUCUAAUAUUAUUUUAUUCAUUUUGUUGCUCAAAUUCUUCCAGUUUUGGCCACUAGGAGUUCUUUCAGUUGGCUCAUAUGUUCCUUUGACACCCCCCCAUAUUUUUCUGUUUUUUAGCCAUCUUUUAUUUUCUGGCAUUCCAAGGGAUUCCCAGCUCAUCUUGUAUAUUUCCUGCCUCUGUCCUAGAAUCAACCAUUUCUCUAAGGGGCCUGGUUUCUCUUACUGGAGAGUGCAAUUAGAAACCAAGAUGUGAGUACUAUGUGUGCUCAUCGCUAUUGGGAUGUUAUUGCUUUUAGGCCCUCUCAGCUGCAGAGCAAGGAAAUAUGUGCAUGUAUACUAACCUUCAUAUAUAUAAAUAUCCAUAAAUUUUUCUUCCUAUGUGUAUCCGUCUGUAUCUAUAUCAAGGUAAACAUGAGUUCAUAUCAAUGUCUCCAACUCUCAUCCAUUACUAAUGGAUCAUUUCCUUGCUUAUCUGUAAUCACCUGCUCAAACAGUGAGAAACCUAGCUUCCAUCUUUGGC
rnacentral:lncRNA from 1 species